GACGAACGCUGGCGGCGUGCUUAACACAUGCAAGUCGAGCGGAAAGGCCUCUUCGGGGGUACUCGAGCGGCGAACGGGUGAGUAACACGUGAGUAAUCUGCCUCUGGCUUCGGGAUAGCCACCGGAAACGGUGAUUAAUACCGGAUACGACACAUCACUGCAUGGCGGGUGUGUGGAAAGUUUUUUCGGCCAGGGAUGUGCUCGCGGCCUAUCAGCUUGUUGGUGGGGUAAUGGCCUACCAAGGCUUCGACGGGUAGCCGGCCUGAGAGGGUGACCGGCCACACUGGGACUGAGACACGGCCCAGACUCCUACGGGAGGCAGCAGUGGGGAAUAUUGGACAAUGGGCGGAAGCCUGAUCCAGCAACGCCGCGUGAGGGAUGACGGCCUUCGGGUUGUAAACCUCUUUCAGCACAGACGAAGCGCAAGUGACGGUAUGUGCAGAAGAUGGACCGGCCAACUACGUGCCAGCCGCCGCCGUAAUAC
rnacentral:rRNA from 1 species